rnacentral:rRNA from 1 species
UACGGAGGGUGCAAGCGUUAUCCGGAUUCACUGGGUUUAAAGGGAGCGCAGGCGGGCAUGUAAGUCAGUGGUGAAAUCUCCGGGCUUAACUCGGAAACUGCCAUUGAUACUAUCUGUCUUGAAUACCGUGGAGGUUAGCGGAAUAUGUCAUGUAGCGGUGAAAUGCUUAGAUAUGACAUAGAACACCAAUUGCGAAGGCAGCUGGCUACACGAAUAUUGACACUGAUGCACGAAAGCGUGGGGAUCAAACAGG